rnacentral:rRNA from 1 species
AGCAGCCGCGGUAAUUCCAGCUCCAAUAGCGUAUAUUAAAGUUGUUGCAGUUAAAAAGCUCGUAGUUGAAUUUCGGGAUCAAAUUGUCGGUCGUGCCUCGGUACGCACUGGUAUUAUUGGUUCCUACCUUCUGAAGAACCGCGAUGUCAUUAAUUUGGUGUCGUGGGGAAUCAGGACUGUUACUUUGAAAAAAAUUAGAGUGUUUAAAGCAGGCUUACGCUUGAAUACAUUAGCAUGGAAUAAUGAAAUAGGACGUUUGAUUCUAUUUUGUUGGUUUCUAGGAUUGACGUAAUGAUUAAUAGGGAUAGUUGGGGGGCAUUAGUAUUCAAUUGUCAGAGGUGAAAUUCUUGGAUUUAUUGAAGACUAACUACUGCGAAAAGCAUUUGCCAAGGAUGUUUUUCAUUAAUCAAGAAACGAAAGUUAGGGGAUCGAAGACGAUCAGAUACCGUCGUAGUCUUAACCAUAAACUAUGCCGACUAGGGAUCGGAUGAUGUUAAUUUUUUAAUGACUCAUUCGGCGC